CACCACUCAAGCUCAGCUUGGUAUUGGAGGCCACCCUGCGAAGGGUGCCCCCGAAAAUCAGCGGCGGUGCAGCCGGAUCUCCCAGCGCAGUAACUUUUAACCUCGCUAUGGAGCCCGACUGUUCCAGCCGGACAACAUGCGUUCCUCCCGGGGAUGCACUUUUUCAAU
rnacentral:misc_RNA from 1 species